rnacentral:tRNA from 1 species
GCGGCGCUAUCUCAGUGGCAGAGCGCCCCGAGACCAUCGGGGAGACGGGGGUUCGAUUCCCACCGCGCCGCUCCA